rnacentral:rRNA from 1 species
GAUGAACGCUGGCGGCGUGCUUAACACAUGCAAGUCGAACGGAAAGGCCCAAGCUUGCUUGGGUACUCGAGUGGCGAACGGGUGAGUAACACGUGGGUGAUCUGCCCUGCACUUCGGGAUAAGCCUGGGAAGCUGGGUCUAAUACCGGAUAGGACGAUGGUUUGGAUGCCAUUGUGGAAAGUUUUUUCGGUGUGGGAUGAGCUCGCGGCCUAUCAGCUUGUUGGUGGGGUAAUGGCCUACCCAGGCGUCGACGGGUAGCCGGCCUGUGAGGGUGUACGGGGACAUUGGGACAGAGAUACGGCCCAGACUCCUACGGGGGGCAGCAGUGGGGAAUAUUGCACAAUGGGCGCAAGACUGAUGCAGCGACGCCGCGUGGGGGAUGACGGCCUUCGGGUUGUAAACUCCUUUCGCGAGGGACGAAGCGUUUUUGUGACGGUACCUGGAGAAGAAGCACCGGCUAACUACGUG